UUCUCUGGCUUUUUCUCUAAAUUGAAUGUUUAAACAGACACAUGACGUGGGCAGCGGGACCAGCAGCAGUCCCUAAGCUCCCUCAGGAUCUUUUACCCAGAAAAAUCUGAACACCAAGAGUCUGCCAAAUCUUUUGUUAAGUUCAGCUUUCCGGAUACAACUGGUGGAAGAAAAGGGAGAAUGCGGGUUGCACAGCAGUAGGUUCUAAUAAAGUUGGGAAAAAAAAAAAAACAGGACAACUUGGCAGAAGCAAUUAUCCUAUGGGUUGCUCUGCAGGCAAAUAUUGGGGGUGAGAAAAAAAAAAUCAAGCUGAGCCCUGAUAGAGUCCAACUUCAGUUCAGUGGACAUAUAUAAUAGGCACAAGUCAGUGAUUCAUCAGUUGUAUGCACCAUUACAUCAGG